AUGCAUCAGCGCUGGUUCCUCCUCUUUCUGUUGGCAGCUCCUGGAUGUGUCCUGUCCCAGGUACAGCUGCAGGAGGCAGAACCAAGCCUGGUGACACCCUCAGAGACGCUGUCCCUCACCUGCUCGGUCUCUGGAUUCUCUCUAACCUCCUAUGCUUUGCACUGGGUCCGCCAGGCCCCUGGAAAGGGGCUGGAAUGGAUUGGAAUUAUGUUGGCUGGUGGAAGCACAUUCUAUAACCCAAGUCUUCAGUCCCGAGUCAGCAUCUCCAGGGACACCGCCAAGAACCAAGUUUACCUAAAACUGAGCAACUCAGUAACGGAGGACACAACCAUGUAUUAUUGUGCAAGACACACAUAUAUCAAAUGUUGCACUGAAAUUAUCAUCAUCAUCAUCAUCUUCAUCAUCAUCAUCAUCUCAUGGAUCAUCAAAAUUCUUGAGCGGUCUCAGUAA